rnacentral:antisense_RNA from 1 species
UCUAAGAGGGCGAUCAGGACAUAUGUUUUAUCUUCUCUUUUUUUUUUUUAAGUUUCACAGAGGAUUGAAUAUACAGUUAGGAUUAAGAAUCACUGAGAUGAAUGAUUCUAUGCCACUUACAAUAGACAUAAGUAAGGCUAUUAUUAAACCAACUCAUAUAAAUUAUCAUCCAUCCAAGUCUUCAUUUUGCCUAUGUAAGAUAAUUUUUAAUGAUGUCUAAAUGUUUAGAUUGUUUUAAAUUCAGAAAUCAGGGAAAAAUAAUAACAAAUAAUUUUUUAGUCGUUGUAACACUUUAGUGAUCCCCUUCAAAUUGUCAAGGAAGAAGAAAGUUAACAUUGGUGUUGAGACACCAAUGAAGAAAUUAAUGGCUUGAAAAUAAAAUUGGAGGAAAUUAUUAAACUUAUCCUUAAAACUAAGUUGUAUAGUAGCAACUUAACUGCCACAGUAACAAUGUGACUCUCGUAGG